GAUGAACGCUGGCGGCGUGCCUAAUACAUGCAAGUCGAGCGAACAGAUGAGGAGCUUGCUCCUCUGACGUUAGCGGCGGACGGGUGAGUAACACGUGGAUAACCUACCUAUAAGACUGGGAUAACUUCGGGAAACCGGAGCUAAUACCGGAUAAUAUAUUGAACCGCAUGGUUCAAUAGUGAAAGACGGUUUUGCUGUCACUUAUAGAUGGAUCCGCGCUGCAUUAGCUAGUUGGUAAGGUAACGGCUUACCAAGGCAACGAUGCGUAGCCGACCUGAGAGGGGGAUCGGCCACACUGGAACUGAGACACGGUCCAGACUCCUACGGGAGGCAGCAGUAGGGAAUCUUCCGCAAUGGGCGAAAGCUUGACGGAGCAACGCCGCGUGAGUGAUGAAGGUCUUCGGAUCGUAAAACUCUGUUAUUAGGGAAGAACAAAUGUGUAAGUAACUAUGCACGUCUUGACGGUACCUAAUCAGAAAGCCACGGCUAACUACGUG
rnacentral:rRNA from 1 species